UGGUAUUGGCAAUUCGGUUUGGCUCUCAUUAAGAAGCAUCCACUUUGCAUUUUGCUUUAAAACAGGACUCAGAAAGUUUUUGGAAAAUUUUUGGAAAUUGUUAAUUUGCCUUGGCUCUGAUGUAGUCUUGUCGGCUAUCUUGUGUGAAGUGGACGCUUGUCUUUGCUGGAAAGAAUGGAAUAGCGGAAGGUGUCAAGUCAGUUUGUUUUCAUUUUUGAACAGAUUCCCGCCAAUUUUUUCCAGGUAAAUAUGGCUUGCUGUCGUUCAUCUUCCCAGCCUAUCUUGCAGUUUCAUUUCCGGACUGGAAGUGUCCGACACUGUGUGCACCUCCAUGCGGUGCUUGUUGGACUCCACAGCGCGCACCAGCGGCUGUAAACCGGAAGCCAUGGCCAGCGCGGGGUGCUGUGUGGAGGCGAGUUUAGUCCCGCGCGCACAGGAUGACCAGCAAAGUAUUCUCUCGCUCUCGGACUGCUUCACACCGGGCCACCGGGCGCUGCCAUCCUAACCUCGGCGGCGAGCGGCGGCUGACUAGCAGAGUGACAAGGACAGGUGGUGGCCAGUUUGCGGCAGUGGGAGUCCAUGAUGGCGAAUGUGCAGAGGAGACCUCUUCUGUACAAAAGAAAAGAAAAGAAGAAAAAAACAGUUAAUGAAGGUAAAUGACUAAUUGACCAAGUUGAUAUCGUAUUUUAUUAAUACACUUUUAAUAUACACUUAACAUAACACGUUAUUUCAAUUGAGAAUAAGUCACAUUUAUUUAACAAAAAAACAGUAUUUUCGAUUCCAAAAACAAUUUUUAUUAAUGAAAUAAUUGAUGUAUUUAGUUUUAUCACAUACGAAAAUCGUUUGCAAUGCAUGGCAUUAUUUCCACGCGUACAGUAUGUCGAGGCCGUGCAGUGAUUUGGUGGUAAAGUCUGAGGAUUAGGCUCUGAUUGAGAUGUCUGUCGGUGGGAUAUUACAAAAUUCAUUAUGCUGCUCCUCCAUAUGAAGUUACACAGAUGGGCUUUUAUUAGCCAGCGCUCACACUGUUUGCUUAUGAUAAUUCAAGUCUUGCACACGAUUUGCAUGUCAGCCUCUGCUUUUUCUCCUCCUCCUCUUCUUCCUCCUUCCUCGCCUCACCUGGUCCUCAGUCACCUUUUUUCCUAUUUCUCCAGUCGAAUGACAAAGAUGCAAAUA